CUGCAGGCUACUUUGAGAAACUGAUGUAGAGAACCGAGGACUGCUAAAAUACAUACAUGGGAUUUCCCCAAAUGUGGAAGAUACCUCAUGGAAUCAAAUGUUCACUGAUAGAAAGGUGGAUGGAGAAAAUGUGAUAUACACAUACAAUGGAAUGAAUACUCUUCAGCCUUAAAAAAGAAGGAAAUCUUACCAUUUACAACAACAUGGGUGGACCUGGAAGACAUUAUGCUAACUAAAACAAGACAUUAUGCUAACUAAAACAAGACUUUAUGCUAAAUGAAAGUGAUUUUUCAUAGAGGCAAAAUGUAUUAAACAAAAUCUUG
rnacentral:lncRNA from 1 species